AGUCCUACCAGAUGGUCAUGUCUUUGUCUUCUUGUCAUCUUUCCAUGCCUUCCUAUUUUCAGGAAACCAGAGCUGAAGGCAGUGGGACAGGAGCUUUGGAAAGUCCCUCACUUUGGAAGGUCAAGGCUGGAGACACUUGACCUACUUCUGUUCUGUGCUUACAAUAGAGCAACAGUGUAGGCUGGGAGUUCUGGAAGGCUGAGUCCUACCCCUGAGUCCAUAGGAGACCUGACAGCCGGGAGGCCUUAGGCACAAGGUAGCAGUGGCUGAAACAAGCCAGAGGUGAUGGUGUGGCAUGAGUUCAUGCUGACCUCCACCUCGGCGUUGCCCCAAGGCCUUCUUUACUUGGAUCAUGUAGAAGGGCUCUCAGAAGGUUCUAGAGUCUCUGACUGGUCAACCUAGAGGACACCUUUCUUCCAAGUUGGACUGAUGGAUCCAUGCUAGAGAGUUUCAGGGUGGGUAAUGACCAGCAGAUGCAGCUCCAGGAAGCUCAGAGCCAAAGCACUUUCCAAAUCUGCUAGACAGGAUCUCCUUCUCCUCUAUAAUGAGAGACUGUCCUAACAGGCCCAGAGCCAAAUGCUGAGAAGACAUACCAAAAGGGAAUCCAGUGCCUGGCCUCUCAAGAAGCCAUGGACAAUGGAGAAGACAGAGUAGAGGCGAUCCGUGUAAUCAAGCACAUCACUGCAGAGUUUUCUGUCAGAAUUCUCUUCUUUCUAAGGCAGAGCGAGACUUCAUUGUGUGAACGUGCAACACAUUUUGUUUAUUCUGUCAACCUUGGUCUAGUGUGGAGAGCUGUUGUGAACUUAGGGUCACACUCCUUUUCCUUUUACAAGUUAAAAAAUAUACAAUCAAGGAGAGUAGACCCCAAAAGAGACAAAAUGGAAAGAUCUCAGUUAGCAGUGACAAGGGGUUAGAGAGGAUUUCCCGUGAGGAAGCAACGUUUUUGUUUUUUUCCCUUUUCAGGAACUGAGAGGAUGAGAAAUCAGCUAAGUUAAAUGUAAGUGAAGAUGAGCUUCAGCCACACGUGACAGCCUCGAGCCUACAGCAAUGUUGGGUUAUUUCAGAAAAGGGAAUGGGGCUGAUAUGACAUAGGCAUAGAGAGGAAGGAGGAGAAGGAAUGGAUGGGCUUGCAGGGGGGGCAUCCCUGCUGACGGCUGAUGGCAGACUAGUUACAGAUGGGCUUUCCCCUAAGAGUUAUGGUAGACAGUUAUAGAACUGUAGGUAGAAGGGUGAAUGUCCAAAUAUAGAGGUGUGUGUGUGUGUGGGGGGGAUUUGGAUGCCUAUGAAUGCCAGAGGUCAAUGUCAGGUGUCUGUCACUCUCCCCUUUUUUAAUUUAUUUAUUUCCUUAUUUCCUAUUUAUAGACGGGCUCUCUCUAUGUAGCUCUGGAUGUCCUGGAGCUUGCUAUAUAGACCAGACUGGCCCCAGACUCACAGAGAUCCUCCUGCCUCUGCUUCCCAAGUACUGGGAUUCAAAGCAUAUGGCACUGUAGCUGGAUAUUUAUUUAUUUUGAAACAAGGUCUGUCACUGAACUUGGAGUUCAUUGAUCAUCUAGGCUGGCUGGUGGAUGAACUCCAAAGAUCUGUCUACACACACACACACACACACACACACACACACACACACACACUACCACAGGGGUUACAGGCAUGCUGUCAGGCCUGGUUUUUAUAUGGGUAUGGGAGAUUCAAACUCAGAUCCUCAGGCCUACAUGGAAGGAACUUUAACAGUUAAACUAUCUUGCCAGUUCCUAUAGUCUAUUAUAAAAGAAACCAUUCUAGCCACGGUGGGAUGUAUGAAUUAGAUCCUGGAAAGGGGCAUGGGACAAGAGUGAAGUGCAGAGAGACCAAUGAGGUACUAUGAUAGUUGCCUAGGCAAGAGGUGCUGGUUGGUUGGAUUAAACUGGUAACCGUGUGGAUAA